GACGAACGCUGGCGGCGUGCUUAACACAUGCAAGUCGAACGAAGUGGCGAACGGGUGAGUAACGCGUAAUCAACCUGCCCUUCAGAGGGGGACAACAGUUGGAAACGACUGCUAUUACCGCAUACGGAAGGAGGGGAUUGCGUCUGAUGAGCUAGUUGGAGGGGUAACGGCCCACCAAGGCGAUGAUAAGUAGGCGGGCUGAGAGGAUGAACGGGCAAAUUGGGACUGAGACACGGCCCAGACUCCUACGGGAGGCAGGAGUGGGGAAUCGUCCGCAAAGGAGGAAAGUCUGACGGAGGAACGGCGCGUGAGUGAUGAAGGCCUUCGGGUUGGAAAGCUCUGUUAAUCGGGACGCGGUACCGGAAUAGAAAGCCACGGCUAACUACGUGCCAGCAGCCGCGGUAAUUC
rnacentral:rRNA from 1 species